UACGAAGGGGGCUAGCGUUGCUCGGAAUUAUUGGGCGUAAAGGGCGCGUAGGCGGCUUUUCAAGUGACGGGUGAAAUCCCUCGGCUUAACCGAGGAACUGCCUGUCAGACUGGAAGGCUUGAGACCGGGAGAGGUGAGUGGAAUUCCCAGUGUAGCGGUGAAAUGCGUAGAUAUUGGGAGGAACACCAGUGGCGAAGGCGGCUCACUGGACCGGAACUGACGCUGAGGCGCGAAAGCGUGGGGAGCAAACAGG
rnacentral:rRNA from 1 species